rnacentral:rRNA from 1 species
UAAGGAAUAUUGGACAAUGGAGGCAGCUCUGAUCCAGCCAUGCCGCGUGAAGGAAUAAGGCCCUAUGGGUUGUAAACUUCUCUUAGACGGGACAAAACCCCUUUACGUGUAAAGGGUUGAUGGUACUGUCAGAAUAAGCAUCGGCUAACUUCGUGCCAGCAGCCGCGGUAAUACGAAGGAUGCAAGCGUUAUCCGGAAUUAUUGGGUUUAAAGGGUGCGUAGGCGGACUAAUAAGUCAGUGGUGAAAGCCUGCAGCUUAACUGCAGAAUUGCCAUUGAUACUGUUAGUCUUGAGUACAGUUGAGGUAGGCGGAAUGUGUCAUGUAGCGGUGAAAUGCUUAGAUAUGACACAGAACACCGAUUGCGAAGGCAGCUUGCUAAGCUGUAACUGACGCUGAGGCACGAAAGCGUGGGGAGCAAACA